rnacentral:rRNA from 1 species
GACGAACCGUGCGAACGUUAUUCGGAAUUAUUGGGCGUAAAGGGCGCGUAGGCGGUUUGUUAAGUCGGUCGUGAAAGCCCGGGGCUCAACCCCGGAGGGUCGACCGAUACUGGCAGACUAGAGUACAGAAGAGGUAACUGGAAUUCCCGGUGUAGCGGUGAAAUGCGUAGAUACCGGGAGGAACACCCGCAGCGAAGGCGGCCCGCUGGGCCACCGCUGACGCUGAGGCGCGAAGGCUCGGGGAGCGAACGGG